UCCCUGAUGGCUCAGCGGUAAAGAACCUGCCUGUAGUGCAGGAGACCUGGGUUUGAUCCCUGGGUUGGGAA
rfam:TPA: Bos taurus chromosome X, whole genome shotgun sequence.